ensembl:snRNA U6 U6 spliceosomal RNA
GUGCUCACUUCGGCAGGACAUAUGCUAAAAUUGGAACUAUACAGAAGAUUAGCAUGGCCCCUGUGCAAGGAUGACAUGCAAAUUUGUGAAGUGCUCCAUAUUAAA